GACGAACGCUGGCGGCGUGCUUAACACAUGCAAGUCGAACGGAAAGGCCCUUUUCGGGGGGUACUCGAGAGUCGAAGGCGUGCGUAACACUUGCGUAACCUGCACUUGACUUUGGGAUAACUUCAGGAAACUGGGGCUAAUACCGGAUAGGAGCACCUGCUGCAUGGUGGGGGUUGGUAAGUUUCGGCGGUUGUGGAUGAACUUGCGGCUUAUCUGUUCGUUGGUGGGGUAAUGGCUUACCAAGGCGACGUCGGGUAGCCGACCUGCGAGGGGGACCGGCCACAGUGGGACUGAGACACGGCCCUGACUCCGAAGGGAGGCAGAAGUAGGGAAUGGGCCGCAAUGGGGGAAAGCCUGACGGAGCAACGCCGCGUGAGUGAAGAAGGAUUUCGGUUCGGAAAGCGCUGUUGUGAGGGAAGAACGAUUGUGUAGUAAAGAUACACAGUAGAGACGGUACUUAGUCAGAAAGCCACGGCUAACUACGUG
rnacentral:rRNA from 1 species